rnacentral:rRNA from 1 species
CCUGCUCAAUGCCAUAUAAAUAGCCGCUAAACGUGCUAAGGUAGCAUAAUAAAUUGCCAUUUAAUUAAAGGACUGUAUGAAAGAAAGCACGCUUUAUUAACUAUCUUUAAACAAAACCAACAAAUUUCCAGUAUAUGUAAAAACCCAAUUAAAAACUAACAGGACGACAAGACCCUGCUGAACUUAUACUUCAAGUUAAACUGGGGCGGUAGCAAACAAAAUCUUUUCUACAACCACCAAUAAAAGCUAACCAUAGAAUAAAUACAAGUUACCACAGGGAUAACAGCAUAAUAAUUUAAUAAAGCCCUCAUAAAAUAAAUUGAUUAUGACCUCGAUGUUGAAUUAAUGCCCUAUAAGUAGAAAAAAAUAAUAAAGGAAGUCUGUUCGACUUAUAACCCAUUACAU